AUGCGACUAGGUUUCACCCUCGCCACCGUUCCUCUCCCCGCCCCUGCCCCUGAUCACUUCUGCCGCCGACCACGUCUAUUGAGCUCCUACCCAGCUGACCUACGUUGCUGGACCCGUCUAUCCCGUGUCGGCGCCUCCUGUCUCGACCUCGUUCCUGUCUCGCCGUCGUCCGGCUCACCACUGACUAGCUUCUAUAUAAGAGGCCUUGGGCGGGUUGCCCUGUCUGAACGUAUCCACAUUCAACAAGCUAGUCUACCAACUUCUAUAGUGUUUGUACUGCUAAUGAUGACUACAACAACAACAACAACAACAACAACAACAACAACAACAAAGCCUUUAGUCCAAACAAGCUGGGGUAGGCUAGAGGUGAAACCCAUAAGAUCUCGCAACCAACUCAUGGUUCUGGCACAUGGAUAG
rnacentral:rRNA from 1 species